rnacentral:rRNA from 1 species
GGGUUGUGAGGUUAAGCGACUAAGCGUACACGGUGGAUGCCCUGGCAGUCAGAGGCGAUGAAGGACGUGCUAAUCUGCGAAAAGCGUCGGUAAGGUGAUAUGAACCGUUACAGCCGGCGAUGUCCGAAUGGGGAAACCCAGUGUGAUUCGUCACACUAUCGUUAACUGAAUACAUAGGUUAACGAGGCGAACCGGGGGAACUGAAACAUCUAAGUACCCCGAGGAAAAGAAAUCAACCGAGAUUCCCCCAGUAGCGGCGAGCGAACGGGGAGCAGCCCAGAGUCUGAAUCAGCUUGUGUGUUAGUGGAACGGUCUGGAAAGUCCGACGGUACAGGGUGAUAGUCCCGUACACCAAAAUGCACAGGCUGUGAACUCGAAGAGUAGGGCGGGACACGUGGUAUCCUGUCUGAAUAUGGGGGACCAUCCUCCAAGGCUAAAUACUCCUGACUGACCGAUAGUGAACCAGUACCGUGAGGGAAAGGCGAAAAGAACCCCGGCGAGGGGAGUGAAAAAGAACCUGAAACCGUGUACGUACAAGCAGUGGGAGCACCUUCGGGUGUGACUGCGUACCUUUUGUAUAAUGGGUCAGCGACUUAUAUUCUGUAGCAAGGUUAACCGUAUAGGGGAGCCGCAGGGAAACCGAGUCUUAACUGGGCGUUAAGUUGCAGGGUAUAGACCCGAAACCCGGUGAUCUAGCCAUGGGCAGGUUGAAGGUUGGGUAACACUAACUGGAGGACCGAACCGACUAAUGUUGAAAAAUUAGCGGAUGACUUGUGGCUGGGGGUGAAAGGCCAAUCAAACCGGGAGAUAGCUGGUUCUCCCCGAAAGCUAUUUAGGUAGCGCCUCGUGAAUUCAUCUUCGGGGGUAGAGCACUGUUUCGGCUAGGGGUCAUCCCGACUUACCAACCCGAUGCAAACUACGAAUACCGAAGAAUGUUAUCACGGGAGACACACGGCGGGUGCUAACGUCCGUCGUGAAGAGGGAAACAACCCAGACCGCCAGCUAAGGUCCCAAAGUCACAGUUAAGUGGGAAACGAUGUGGGAAGGCACAGACAGCCAGGAUGUUGGCUUAGAAGCAGCCAUCAUUUAAAGAAAGCGUAAUAGCUCACUGGUCGAGUCGGCCUGCGCGGAAGAUGUAACGGGGCUAAACUGUGCACCGAAGCUGCGGCAGCGACACUAUGUGUUGUUGGGUAGGGGAGCGUUCUGUAAGCCUGCGAAGGUGGCCUGUGAGGGUUGCUGGAGGUAUCAGAAGUGCGAAUGCUGACAUAAGUAACGAUAAUGCGGGUGAAAAGCCCGCACGCCGGAAGACCAAGGGUUCCUGUCCAACGUUAAUCGGGGCAGGGUGAGUCGACCCCUAAGGCGAGGCCGAAAGGCGUAGUCGAUGGGAAACAGGUUAAUAUUCCUGUACUUGGUGUUACUGCGAAGGGGGACGGAGAAGGCUAUGUUAGCCGGGCGACGGUUGUCCCGGUUUAAGCAUGUAGGCGGAGGUUCCAGGUAAAUCCGGUACCUUUUUAACGCUGAGGUGUGAUGACGAGGCACUACGGUGCUGAAGUAACAAAUGCCCUGCUUCCAGGAAAAGCCUCUAAGCAUCAGGUAACAUUAAAUCGUACCCCAAACCGACACAGGUGGUCAGGUAGAGAAUACCAAGGCGCUUGAGAGAACUCGGGUGAAGGAACUAGGCAAAAUGGUGCCGUAACUUCGGGAGAAGGCACGCUGAUAUGUAGGUGAAGCCCCUGCGGGUGGAGCUGAAAUCAGUCGAAGAUACCAGCUGGCUGCAACUGUUUAUUAAAAACACAGCACUGUGCAAACACGAAAGUGGACGUAUACGGUGUGACGCCUGCCCGGUGCCGGAAGGUUAAUUGAUGGGGUUAUCCGUAAGGAGAAGCUCUUGAUCGAAGCCCCGGUAAACGGCGGCCGUAACUAUAACGGUCCUAAGGUAGCGAAAUUCCUUGUCGGGUAAGUUCCGACCUGCACGAAUGGCGUAAUGAUGGCCAGGCUGUCUCCACCCGAGACUCAGUGAAAUUGAACUCGCUGUGAAGAUGCAGUGUACCCGCGGCAAGACGGAAAGACCCCGUGAACCUUUACUAUAGCUUGACACUGAACAUUGAGCCUUGAUGUGUAGGAUAGGUGGGAGGCUUUGAAGCGUGGACGCCAGUCUGCGUGGAGCCAACCUUGAAAUACCACCCUUUAAUGUUUGAUGUUCUAACGUUGGCCCCUUAUCGGGGUUGCGGACAGUGUCUGGUGGGUAGUUUGACUGGGGCGGUCUCCUCCCAAAGAGUAACGGAGGAGCACGAAGGUUAGCUAAUCCUGGUCGGACAUCAGGAGGUUAGUGCAAUGGCAUAAGCUAGCUUGACUGCGAGCGUGACGGCGCGAGCAGGUGCGAAAGCAGGUCAUAGUGAUCCGGUGGUUCUGAAUGGAAGGGCCAUCGCUCAACGGAUAAAAGGUACUCCGGGGAUAACAGGCUGAUACCGCCCAAGAGUUCAUAUCGACGGCGGUGUUUGGCACCUCGAUGUCGGCUCAUCACAUCCUGGGGCUGAAGUAGGUCCCAAGGGUAUGGCUGUUCGCCAUUUAAAGUGGUACGCGAGCUGGGUUUAGAACGUCGUGAGACAGUUCGGUCCCUAUCUGCCGUGGGCGCUGGAGAAUUGAGGGGGGCUGCUCCUAGUACGAGAGGACCGGAGUGGACGCAUCACUGGUGUUCGGGUUGUCAUGCCAAUGGCAUUGCCCGGUAGCUAAAUGCGGAAGAGAUAAGUGCUGAAAGCAUCUAAGCACGAAACUUGCCCCGAGAUGAGUUCUCCCUGAGACUUUAAGUCUCCUGAAGGAACGUUAAAGACGAUGACGUUGAUAGGUCGGGUGUGUAAGCGUAGCGAUACGUUGAGCUAACCGAUACUAAUGAACCGUGAGGCUUAACCUUACAACGCCGAAG